CCGCGCCUGCUGAAGGAGGCAGCCUUGUCUAGAUGGACGGUUUUGCAGGCAACCCGACAAGGUACCCUCUCGUGAACAGCAAUUUUGCUGAUUCAAAAUUGUUCC
rnacentral:ncRNA from 1 species